GCAAGUUUCAGAGCAAUGGCUGGAGCAACAUUCCUAUUUCCAAAUUGCAUAGUGAAUCUUUUGCCUAGUUAUCAAAUCCUGCUUGAUGGGGAGCUCUCCAUGGUCCUGAUCCCCAGGUAUUUGACCUUGCCAUAUUUCCCCUGGAAUAGUCUCAUGGGUUUCAGCUGGUGUUGUCCCCAAAACCACACAUCCCUUUUGUGGAACCAAAAGAGCAGGGUUAUUUCUGCUGCUCCCAUGGCCUACCGUUUCCUGGAAUCCCUGAACCCAAGGGAUGGAGUUGCAGAUAUUUGAUUGUUUGUGUCAAGCUUGGGUUGCUUUGCUGAAAGAGACCAGGGAGGAAAGGGGACCACGGAGAAAUCUUCACACUUCAUGGCCUGCAAGAACCUUCCAAGCUGCUUACAGUAAUACAAUGUAGUUGGCAAAAGACAUUCACACACACACAAAAAAAGAGCUGUAUACAUAGCAAAAUAUAAUGGGGUGGGGUUAGAAUACACUGUGCCAAAGACAAGGAGGAAAUCGUUUUAUCCAAUUCUGAAAGCAGAACUAUAUCAUCCAUUCCAACUAUCUGUACCCACCUUCCAACUGUACCCACCUUCCCUUGUUUCUUCCAGAUAUUGUUGAAUGGCAAGUCCCAUCAUCACUGACCUUUGGACAUGCUAGUUGGGGCUGAUGGGAGUUGGAGGAAGCCUGUGCUAUACAUUUUACCUCAGAAAGCCCUUAAGAUCUAGACAUUAUAUGUGUGCUAUGUGUAAUUUUUGUUAUUAUUUCCCCUUCCCUUGUCAAGGAAAGCAAAGUUUGAGUUUGCACCUUCCUAUGACAUUAUGUUUCAGAAAUAUUUUCUAAGCAGGACUUAAGUUGCAGGUGUACUUUAUUACAAAUGAGUGUUAAACUCUAACUUUUGAGUUCCCAAUUAAGUUUUUAAUCUCCCAGCAGAAGUUUCUGUGUGUGUAGUUUUAGGUUGUUUUUUUAAGUGGGUUUUUUGUCCAUAUUUCCUUUUCAGCUGGGCUGAGUGGGAGAAAGAACUCUAAGGGAGGUCUUAGCAGAUGGUUGUCACAAACUGCAUACGGCAAUUGAGAAUUAGUGUGCAAGCAUAUGCAACCUGGUAUAGUAUGAAACAUUCCAGCAUAUGAGUGCUGGAAUAAGUCAUGCUUGUGCAGGAUUUUUCUUCUUAAUUUUCUAAUUUAGCUUUCCAUUUCCUUUAAACAUUUUGAUUUCAGGCAUGCAUUAAAACAAAGGUCAACUAUCAUUCUACCAAGCUGAAGAGGAGUAUUGAAACAUGACAUUUUAAAUAUAAAAAAACAAAUGUCGUGGAGAGCAUAGCAGUUGAGAUGUACAUGUAAGCUUAUAUCUUCUGUCAACCUCAGUUUAAAAAUGUAAUCCUAGAUGCAUCUUCUUUGAAUAAGUUCCACCAAAAUAAUUUGGGUGUAUUUCCAUCACUGAAGCAAAAAUUCUACAAAAAUCCAUUGGCAGCAAUCAUACCACUCUUUGUUUCUCCCAUUCCUUUAUGGGUGUUAAACCUAUUAACAUCACCUUGGUGCUUCAAGACAUCAUAUAUAAUCAUUUUAUUUACUAAGCAAAGCUGAAAACACCAAAGGCGUCGUGUAACAGUCAGUGUCAGACUAGGACCUGGGAGAGCAGGGUUCAAAUCCCCACUUGGCCAUGAAGCUUGCUGGGUGACCUUUGGGCCAGUCACUGUUUCUCAUCGGGUUGUUGUGAGGAUAAAUCGGGAAAGGGGGAAACUAUGCAUGCCAUCUUGAGCUCCUUUACUUGAAAGAAAAGUGGGAUAUAAAUGUAAUAAUAAAUGGAUGGAUGGAUGUUGCAUGUAUGACAUAGAAAGCACCAUUUGUGUUCUUUAUGCACUCUCAUGCUGCUUAUGUACAUAUGUAUAGUUGUUAAUGAUGAUGAGAGCAAAAUGGAAAAGUUCUCUGUCUAUAAACACACAAACACACACACACACACCAAUUUAGUUUCCAUAAUUAAGAUGCAGAUGCAUGAAAUGGGAGGGGAAACACAUUUACAUGUAUUUAUGCAGAACAUUGAGUUCAGUGGGUCUUAUUCCCAGGUAUAGGAUUGCAGUCUUAGUGAAAUUUAAAUGACAUGUGAAAUUUAAAUAAUCUCUGGGGAUAAAAUACAGGUCAACAUUUUGCUUCGCAUCUGGUGCGUUGUAGUAUGUGGGUACAGUGGCGUAGCGUGGGUUGUCAGCACCCGGGGCAAGGCAAGUAAUUUGCGCCCCCUCUGCCCUAGGGGCAGAGAGCUGCGAGUGCAAGCGCGCCCCCCCAGAUGUUGCGCCCGGUGCGGCCGGCCGCCCCUGCACCCCCCACGCUACGCCACUGUGUGGGUAUGUGGGUAGUAUGAAUCUACUGCCACCAUGGCUUUCCAAAGCAGAUCCAUAUACUAAAUCCAGCAGCUGCCUUGACAGUAUCCAGGAAUGUACAUCCCCCUCCCGCUGCCAGCCCCACUCACAUCAGGAGUAAAUCCAGUUUGAAGCGGCAGUCAAUUUCAGACAAACCAUGUUACCACUCCCACUCCAAUUUUCUCAGCUUUGCUUUUGCAUAGAUGAUUGUCUGGAGAUCCUAUGUUGUUGUUGUUUUGCCUUCCCCUCUGGUAGAACUGCCAUCUUGUCAUUUUCUCUGUGGUGGCAGCCAGGAACUUCCUCCCCAUAGAGAUCCAUCUGGCCCCUACGCUAUGUGGUUUUAGGUGUCAGAUUAAGGAACAUUUAUUUUUCCAGGGUUAUGGGUAAGGCUGAUGUAAGAGAUAGAGGGCUGCUGAAUUGUCUGAAUGUCUGAUUUUUUUGUUUUGAUGUUUGUUUCAUAUUGUUGGUUUUAUGGUUCCUGUAUUACUUGGCAUAUUUUAAUAUAUUGUUAUGUACCACCCUGGGAGACUUUGGGUUGCAGGGCAAGAUAAAAAUUUAAGUAAUUAAUUAGGAUUAGGUGUAGUAGAGACACCCCCUCCCCCAAUCAAGUACACACAUUUAAUCAAUAACAGUAGAGGAAUCCCUCUCUCCCCAAAAAAUAACAAUUAAAAAUCAGGUACACAUCAAAUGGAAGACUUGCUGCUGUUUUCAGCUUGUGCUCUAUGAUCCUGCUUUGUGAUCACUGGUUUAUAUGUUGCAAAUGCUGGAUAUAAAGGAACCUUCAUGCCACCUUCAACCCCUGCUGCAGUAUGACUUUCCAAUUAUUUCCCAGCGUGCCCUCCAAAGGGUGUGCUUUGUAACAAAGGAAAGUGCCUCUGUAACAUCUCCAAGGGUUCUUGACCUUCCUGCUUUCCCUUUUCUCUGAGUCACUGGUGGUGGUGGGGGUGGUGGUGGAAGAGAAGAGGGAAGGAGAGCAAGGAGAAAGUGUAAACAUUGGCACGCAAGGCAAGGCGGAAUUACAUACUGGUCGACCAAAACACAAAUCAACUCAAAACUACAGGAGUCCACCAACAUGCACAUAAAUCAUUUAUAAUGAUAAUCCAAGACGAGGUCCAAAUCUCAUUAAAGUAUAUGAAUCCUUAAUCUAUUUUGGCAAAAGAGAGCCAAUACACAUUUUUUCUUUUUAUCAUAAAUUACAGUUCUGUGGCACUGUGCAAAUAUUACCAAGCUGUAAGACAGCUGUGCUCCAUUAAAAUGUGUAAUGGUCGCUGAUUUCUUACAGCACAUGGUCAUCAGGCUGAAUCUACAGCCAGUAAUUAGGAAGAUGAAAUGUUUAAUUGUGCCUUAAUUUUGAUAAAAUUUAUCUGUCACACAUCCCGUAGUUGAGCAUUAUGCUCACAAAUCAAUGUCAUCAGGCCUGAGCACCAGACUCUUGUUCCUGACAGAUUCAUUUGAAUAUCAAACCGUACACAGCCGACAACCAGGGGAAAGGGACAUGGAAAAAAAAUUAAAAAGAAAGAAAUCUUCCCCCUGACACAGCCCGGCUUGGGUGACAUAUGCCUCGCCACCUCUUUUAAAAGCUAGAGAGGUCAAAAGCAAAAGGCUGCUAACACUCCUGUCAAGAGUGGCAGAGAGUGUUUCCUUUGAGCCACAAACAGGGUGUGUGCGUGGCAGUUUUCGCCCCCUCCCUCUUUUGAAACUUCACACUAUUUGUUGAACCUCCAGGGUUAUUUCCCACCCACCUCACCCCAAUUUGCUGCGUUUGUUGUUCGGCUGCAAACGCAACCAAGGCAAAGCUGGGGUCCGUUGUGUGUGCCAGAAGUGAUCAUUUACUUCCCUGCUGGCAACUGCAGCAGCAAGCAUUACAGCAGUCACUCAUGUGCAGAUUAUUACCGCACAUAGAGAGCCCAAGUCACUUUAUUUAAAAUGUGGGGGGUUUACAUGGAAGCCUCGCUUCAAUAUGGCAGAGGGCAGUUUCAAGCAUGCCGGCUGCUAUUUCAAAGCUAUCUGCUUUAUUUUUAACAAUGCAGCUCGAGCCACUUAGAUUUACACGGCACAGGGGCCCCUCUGCAGCAUGAUAUACAUCUCUGACCCUGACACCGCACACUUUGGUCAUCCUGCUAAUUCCAAUAACAACCAAGAACCAAGUCAUUUUCUUCUUGUUAUAGCUACACAAAUAUCUACAUUCCCCCCACUACCUGGAGUACAGCCACUGCUUCUUUGUCAUGUAUCAGAUAUGGGACAUUUGAAAGGAAUACUUAUGCUUUGCUUUGAAUAAUGAAGAGAUAUGGGGGGCGAGCUAGGCUUGUGUCUUUUUCACAGCCUACUGCCCAUCUCCUCCCCCAUUCUUUCCCCUCUCUGCUUUAUCCUCCUUGAGAGUGUUGGGAAAUGUAGUCCGCAUCAAAUUAAGCUGCUGUUGUGCAAUUUGAGGUGAAAGCUGCAAAGAGGAAACUACUAAUUAAAGGCACAGUAGCACAGAAAUGCUUCAGUGACCUUGCUAUUCUACAAUGAUUGGUUUGUGUGGAGAAAUCAUCAUUUUGAGAUUAUUGAUGAUGUACGGUUUCUGAAAUUCAAUUUUGUUUGCUGUUUAAUGAGAAACUGCCUAAUUCAUAUUUCUCAAACAAUGUGUGAACUGAAACAUAGCUAUCAUUUGAAAUUCGCCCUUCUCUGCAUUUUGUGAUGCAGUUCUCCAACCAACCACUUCAUAUAUUUGGAAGUGUGCAAAGAAAUGCCUAUGUUACUGAAAGUAGCAUACAAAAAUGCAUUACAUUAGGGAAAACUAAUUAUAGAAAUGUGUGUAUUAGUCAAAGUUGCAUACAAAAAAUUAUUAGGAGAAAUUUGCACUAAAAUGCUAAUGAAUAUUCAUUUUUUAUAAAAAGGACUGAAUUGCUGCAAAAAAUCAGAGAACUGAAUUUAAGAUUGAAGAAAGAGAAACUGGAAGAACCAAAGUUGACAGAUCUGUCCAUUCUUGCAAACAAUAUAAAGGUUUGAAGCAUUAACUGUGUAAGAACUGCCUGUAUUUUAUGCAGAGAACUGUACUAUGUCUCAAUGUAGCUUCAAAGUGAGAGUUCCAGCUGAUUGACAGCUUUUGUUGUUUCUUUUUCUAUUCCUGGGUAUGAUUUUGCAUUAUUGUUAUAAUUUUCAUCAGUUUCAAUGUAAACUACCUUGAGCAUAUAUAUAAAUGGAAAGAUAAUAUGUAAAUAAAAUUUACACUGAGACAAGAAGAUUGCUCAAUAGCAAUAUAAUGGUGGUGAUUAGAUCUAAUUUGGAAAGAAAUUAAAGCCCAACAUAUAUUCUUCUGCAAGAGUAAUCAGUCAAUCUAGUAUCACGUUUUACCAUGAAGUUUUUAUUGUAGGAUGUUGAUUUCUAGGUCAGACACACUUAUUCAACCUUGAAACCACUGACAUCUGCCACUUCUAGCACAAUAUGCCACAAAGUUAUGUUACUCUCCACUAGUGAUGUUACAGGCUGUUAUUUAAAACAGAGGCAAAGCCUCAAAGUUGUGCUAGGAAAAAGUUUAGUAAGGUGUUGACCAUCUACUCCAAGCGCAAGCAAAUUUUCAUGCAAUCUUAUUCCACUGGCUUCUUUCAGCAAUUAGAGCUAUAUCAAGUUCUAUGUGACCCACUGCAACAAGAGAGCAGAAUGAAAUCAAAUCAGAUCUGUUAUAUUCAACAUUUUAAGAAACCUUAAUUUCCUGGCACCAGUUUGAGGGUUUUGCCUCUACUGCAGUGGGGUGGGGAGAGUUAGCAUUAAAAAUAAAAAAAUGAUGGUACACCUUCAUUCCCUCUACAUGCUCUGUUUGACCACAUUCCACAUAGUACUUGAAAUAAAUUCAGUCGGUGAGGACGGAUCACAUAUUCCCAGCAACAAAAUACUGCAGUUGAUGACUGCUUGAGAAAUGUGUUGUAGCUAUAAUAUCAGAGCUACCUUGAAGGAAGAUGGCUGGAUCCAGCUCAGCAAUUGAGUGACAACAGUGCAUUGACUGUAUGUGUAGUCUAAGGUGUUGUUUUUGACCUCUAAAGCCCUUCAUGGCACAGAGUCUCCUGAAUUGAAGCCGUUUCUUUAUGGCAUAUGGCCGUUUUUAAAAACUCCAGAAGGCAUUCAAGGUGUUGCCAAGGCAAUCUUGGAGAGGAAGCAACUUCUUUCAGCUUCCCUUUCCUCCUCAAAUGUGGCAUAAACACACCGCUUAUUAUUUACAAUAAUAAUCAUCUGCUACUUCUUCGGCCCAUCCUUCCUUCAAGGUGCUCAGAGCAGUGCUGUAGCCUCACAGCAACUUGGUGAAACUGAGAGAAUGACCUGCAGAUUUCGCCAUCUUGUAAGCUUCAUAGCUGAGCACAAACUUAAACCUAGGCUUUCCCCUUCUCUGGAUGAAUCCAUUCUCAGAUUUGUCCCAAAAUUUCGCAGCUCCAAAUUGUUGCUGAAGCAUUGAGAAUUCUCCACUGUGCUAUUUCUUUUUAAAUAUCUGAGGUUGUUGUUUUUUUUAAAUCCCUAUGUAUGUAAUUUCUCCUUCAUUAUCAGUUCGUUUGUGUCUUGUUCUACACAAGCUGAUAAAACACUCUUCAUUUUUUAAAAAAUAAUAUUUAUUUAUUAUUUUUCCAAAAACUUAAACACUAAAAAGACAAUACAAUACAACACAUCAAAUU